AUGUUUAUCUGAUUGUUAGCAAUAAUAAAAAAUCCUGAUUUAGAUAAAAUGGAUUCAAAUACAGUUUUUGAAACAAAACGAAUGUGAUUUGAAGAUCCAUAGGAAGAUCAAAUUCCUAGCUUACAUUUGCAUGGUGAGUUCAACAAGUAUUUGUUAUUAGAGAACAAGUAACACAGUUAGUGGUGUAGGGAAGCAAACGAAUGUAACACCAAUUGAAAGUCCUCAACAAGUAGAGAUGCACACAUGUUUCAAUCAUUUGAGAUACCCUUUUGUAGAAGUAUUUGGAAGAUAACUAUUAAUAAUUUCAUUUGUAAAGAUACGAUUUGUAAAAAAGUAUAUACAAAGUGGUUUUGCUGGUAUUAAAUAAAUAAAUAAAAAUAC